rnacentral:rRNA from 1 species
GACGAACGCUGGCGGCGUGCCUAAUACAUGCAAGUCGAGCGAAGUUUUUCUGGUGCUUGCACUAGAAAAACUUAGCGGCGAACGGGUGAGUAACACGUAAAGAACCUGCCUCAUAGACUGGGACAACUAUUGGAAACGAUAGCCAAUACCGGAUAACAGUAUUUCUCGCAUGAGAGAUAUUUAAAAGUUGGUUAUGCUAACACUAUGAGAUGGCUUUGCGGUGCAUUAGCUAGUUGGUGGGGUAAAGGCCCACCAAGGCGACGAUGCAUAGCCGACCUGAGAGGGUGAUCGGCCACACUGGGACUGAGACACGGCCCAGACUCCUACGGGAGGCAGCAGUAGGGAAUCUUCCGCAAUGGGCGAAAGCCUGACGGAGCAACGCCGCGUGAGUGAAGAAGGAUUUCGGUUCGUAAAGCUCUGUUGUUAGGGAAGAAUGGAUAUGUAGUAACUAUACAUGUAAGAGACGGUACCUAACCAGAAAGCCACGGCUAACUACGUG